rnacentral:rRNA from 1 species
UACAGAGGUCUCAAGCGUUGUUCGGAUUCAUUGGGCGUAAAGGGCGCGUAGGCUGCGGGGCAAGUCGGGUGUGAAAUCUCAGAGCUCAACUCUGAAACUGCACUCGAUACUGCUUUGCUCGAGGACUGGAGAGGAGAUUGGAAUUCACGGUGUAGCAGUGAAAUGCGUAGAUAUCGUAAGGAAGACCAGUGGCGAAGGCGGGUCUCUGGACAGUUCCUGACACUGAGACACGAAGGCCAGGGGAGCAAACGGG